AGAGUUUGAUCAUGGCUCAGAACGUACGCUGGCGGCACGCCUAACACAUGCAAGUCGAACGAAGUAGCAAUACUUAGUGGCAGACGGGUGAGUAACAUGUGGGUAUCUGCCCUUUGGCCUGGAAUAACACGAGGAAACUUGUGCUAAUACCGGAUAAGUCUUUACGGAGAAAGCUUUAUGCACCAUUGGAUGAGCCCGCACUUGAUUAGUUUGUUGGUGGGGUAAUGGCCUACCAAGACUGUGAUCAAUAGCUGAUUUGAGAGGAUGAUCAGCCACAUUGGGACUGAGACACGGCCCAAACUCCUACGGGAGGCAGCAGCGGGGAAUCUUGCACAAUGGAGGAAACUCUGAUGCAGCGAUGCCGCGUGAGUGAAGAAGGCCCUUGGGUUGUAAAGCUCUUUCGUCGGGGAAGAAAAUGACUGUACCCGAAUAAGAAGGUCCGGCUAACUUCGUGCCAGCAGCCGCGGUAAUACGAAGGGACCUAGCGUAGUUCGGAAUUACUGGGCUUAAAGAGUUCGUAGGUGGUUGAAAAAGUUAGUGGUGAAAUCCCAGAGCUUAACUCUGGAACUGCCAUUAAAACUUUUCAGCUAGAGUAUGAUAGAGGAAAGCAGAAUUUCUAGUGUAGAGGUGAAAUUCGUAGAUAUUAGAAAGAAUACCAAUUGCGAAGGCAGCUUUCUGGAUCAUUACUGACACUGAGGAACGAAAGCAUGGGUAGCGAAGAGGAUUAGAUACCCUCGUAGUCCAUGCCGUAAACGAUGUGUGUUAGACGUUGGAAAUUUAUUUUCAGUGUCGCAGCGAAAGCGAUAAACACACCGCCUGGGGAGUACGACCGCAAGGUUAAAACUCAAAUGAAUUGACGGGGACCCGCACAAGUAGUGGAGCAUGUGGUUUAAUUCGAAGAUACGCGCAGAACCUUACCAACACUUGACAUGUUCGUCGCGACUCUAAGAGAUUAGAGUUUUCGGUUCGGCCGGACGAAACACAGGUGCUGCAUGGCUGUCGUCAGCUCGUGUCGUGAGAUGUUGGGUUAAGUCCCGCAACGAGCGCAACCCUCACUUUUAGUUGCCAUCAUUAAGUUGGGCACUCUGAAAGAACUGCCAGUGAUAAGCUGGAGGAAGGUGGGGAUGACGUCAAGUCCUCAUGGCCCUUACGUGUUGGGCUACACACGUGCUACAAUGGUAUCUACAACAGGAAGCAAGACUGCGAGGUCAAGCAAAUCCUUAAAAGAUACCUCAGUUCGGAUUGCACUCUGCAACUCGAGUGCAUGAAGCUGGAAUUACUAGUAAUCGUGGAUCAGCGUGCCACGGUGAAUGCGUUCCCGGGUCUUGUACACACCGCCCGUCACACCAUGGGAGUUGGUUCUACCUUAAGGCAAGGUUUCAAACCCUUGACCACGGUAUAGUCAGCGACUGGGGUGAAGUCGUAACAAAGGUAACC
rnacentral:rRNA from 1 species